CACUCAGGCAUUCUCAGCUUUUCGUAAGUGUUCUCUGUUAUGAUAACUGGGAUCCUAAAUAGCUCAUGGGAAUGAUCAUUAUAUUCAGAAGCAGGAGAAUUCAUUCAUCCAACAGGCAUUGAUGGAGAGCAUACUGUGUGGUAGGCAGUGUCAUAGGAGCUGGGAAUCAGCAGUAAAGACAAAGUUCCUGUUCUCACGGAGCUUAUCUUCCAGUGGAAGAGAGACGUAUAUAAAAUAAUUUCAGAUAUUAAUAUGUGCUUUGCAGGAAAAAAAUAAGGGCAAUGUAGAGGGAUGAAGAGUGAGUAGGAAUGAGACUGCGGCGGUGGUUUAGAAAGGAAAGUCACUGCAGGCCCCUACGAGGGUCUGCCGUUUGCACUGAGUCCUGAGGGCUAGGAAGGAGGGAGCUGUACCACCACCAGGAGACAGGGUGUUCACGACAGAGAUGAUAGCAGUUGUGAGAUCCUGAGAUGGGCUCUAGCUUGAUUAUUUAAGGACUGGCAGAGCCAUAGCACCUGAGUGGGAGAGGCUGACAGGUGCAUUAUAUCAGGUCUGGGUGGUCGUGUGGAGGAGUUUGGGUCUUCUUUUGGGUGUGAUGGGAAGCCAUUAGAGAGUUCUGACCUCAGAUUGGCAUGCUAUAUGUUAUUGAAAGAUAGCUGUAGCUGCUGUCUGGACAGUCAGCUGUUUGAGUGGAAGCUGGGAAACCUUUCAGAGGCUCUUGCUAUAGUCCCGAUGAAAGACGGUGGUGGCGGGGGCUAGAGUGCUAAUGAUGGAACUAGAAGUGGAAGGAUACAGGCUCAUGCUUAGAGGUGGUACUUAAAGGUUUGCUGAUGGACUGAAUGAUGAGUAUGAGGGGAAGAAGGAGUCAGGGCCUCUAUAACCAGAUGCUUGGCAACUUGUCACUUUCUUAACAGUUAUCAAACAGAACUCCCAGUCAUUUCUUCCACUCCCUGAAACACAGCAGCAGUGACUGACAGUAUACAUUGCACUUGUGAGUGAUGACAGGAUUUUUCAAUUUGAAACCUUAAAAGUUUUUUUAAAUUAUUCGUUUUAAUUUUUCUCAAAAAGGGAAGAGAAAAUAUUCCCUUCGCUGUCAGAAUCUUAAGAAAGACACACACGCACAAAUCCAGACACACACAAACACACACACACACCACCACCACCCCAAAUGAUAUUUGAAUUCUCCUACUUUUGAAAACAAUACAUGGGCUUUUGAAAAUAGCUGUCAGAAUCUUUAAAAGGAAAAAACCCAAAGGCAUAAAUAAAUGAACUCUACAAAUGACUUUGGUUCACAUAGAACAUAAAAAUAAAAUCCACAAUGAAAAAGCCAGUUUUAAAGAUGUUGGCUUGUUUAGAGACUCAUGGGAGGAAAUGUUAAGGCAGUUUAACCAUCGAUGAUUGGAGUACGUUUUUUCCCGCCCAGGAUAACAAUGGAGCAAAAGUGCAAAAACAGUGUAACAAUAUUCAGUUUAUGGGUGGCCAAGGAGUGCAGGGAAUUAAUACAUCUGAGUCAUAAAACAGAAAAAGUGAAGCACAAAGUGGUAUAUGUACUGUGAGAAGUGGAUUAAAAGAAUUUGUUAGCUCGUGGGAAAAGUGAGACAGUACCUUCAGUGGAACAUAGGAUAUUCCCUCCGGUGCAACUUCAAGACAAUCACCAGGCAAAGUAGCUGUCCUUGAUUGCUAAGCCAAUGCAUGGAGAAGGAGACUUCUCCUGAUAUAUUAGUAUUAAAUAAUGUAUUAAGUCAGUCACUGUCAUCAAAUUAAUACUGGGAAGUACAUGACCAAGAUGAAAACACCUUCCAUCAGUAAGUCACUUGGUAAUCUAGGAUGGACCUUUAUCCAUCCCUCCCCCAUCCAAACCCCACCCCCAGCCCCCAGCAUCAUCCAUUCUUAUACAAUUUUUGAAGUCCCAUAAAAGUCAAUUUAUGUUGCCUUUUCUGUCUUCAGAAGGGUUCACAAUUCAUUAAAAUGCCACUCUUUCCUUUGUGUCUUGCUCUCAGGACAAAUGGUAGAAGUCCAGAUUGAACACAAGGCACAGAUCAAGCCAGGAUGAUCAGGCUUACACAGUCUGACCUGACAGAGGCCUGAGCAGGGAUUGGCCCAGCACCCAACACAUGGAGAAUGAUGAGGAUGAUUGCUCCAUCUUCAAGAAGGAGAGCAGUUAGAAGGCUAUGUCAGUAGACCAACAAAGAGGAGAAACUCCGUUCCCUCAAAUGGGUGUGGGAGUGAUAUGAAGAUUUGCUCAAAGCCAAAGGUGAGUGAUAAAACAUAAUAGUCUCUAAAAGGAUCUUUCUAUGAUUCUAGAAUUCUUUGAUUAUAGGAUAUGGAAUAGAAAUUAAUGAGACAUGUUUCACAUAAAUGAGCAAAUCUAGGAUUAGAAGUAUGUCAUAAUUUAAAGACAACCCCAAAUUUAUUCUUAGGCUGCAUGAAUCCUUCAGGGUCCUUGAUUUACAAAACAAAAACAAAAAACAAAACACAUUCUAGUUUAAGGGAAAAAUAAUUUUUUUAUUAAAGGUUUUAAGAAGUUCUCAGAAUCCUGGUGAGAGCCAGAGAAUCAACUAUGAUGCUCUGAGACCAGGAGCUACAUGCAGCUUACAUAGGAGGAUGGUCCUAGGGGAUACCUCACUGUCCCUAGGCCUAGACAGCUCAUCUCUUGCCCCCAGUGGCGGACCCUAGAGGCUACUGCUAGGACCUCCGGUCAUGGUCUCUUGGAGGUGCUGCUUCUCCCUCCACCUGCCAUGAUGGAUUGCGUGAGGUACCUUGCUCACUUCCCCAUGGAGUUCUCAGUCAAGUGGGUCUGAUUGACAGAACCUGGACCCUAUAUUUGGACAUUCUCCAAAUAUAACAUAAGCCCAAAGAUAAUGAGUAGCCAAAAAACAUGACAAAUGCCCACUUCAGUAAAGCAGUAUAACCUCAGCUUCCCCUUGGUGCCUGGAGACACACCCUUUCCAGGGUAGUUAAUGCCCCACAGGCCCCACUGUUGACCAAUGGCAAGUGAGGAGUGGGAAAGAGCUGAGAGAUAAAUUCCUUUCCCUUCCCUUCUCCUGAUGGGCUGCCUUGAGAUGCAAUAGCUUAUCUGGUCUUGCCGAACACAUCGCAUGAGAUGGAGCAUUAACUAUACUCGUUAGCAACCACAGGCUGACUGAAGCCUCCCUCACGUUGCCUCUGCCUCACUCCUUUUCCCCUCACUCUUGUUUCCCUGAGAUUAUACCUCCCUAGAAAGUGGCAGCUCAUCAGCUUUUCCCUUAGGCUCUGGUUUCUUGCAACCCAGGCUACAAGAGCAUCUCUUGCAGUUGCAGUGUAUUCUCACUAGAGUCUUUGGUCUCUAAGACCAGCUUCAAUUAUUUUCUCUAGAAAACUAGUAAUAGUAGCUCGUGCUGAUUUGAAAACCUGCGUUUGCCAUAACUGUCACUCAUGUUGAAAACUCUUCUACUGUCUCUAUAUUUUCCUCAUGCACAAACAAAAAAGAAAGAAAGAAAGGAAGAAAAAUUCACCGGGAGGUUGGGUUGUGAGAGUGGGAGUGGAGGAAUUAACUUGUCAUUGAGAGUCUCCUAGCUUCUAGUUAACUUUCUUCUAAUUCCCUAAACAAGCCAUAGUGUCUCAUUUCUCUGCGCCCUCCCUCAGGUUAUUUUCUCUUCUAAAAAGCUAUUUGGGGCUUCCUGGUGGCACAGUGGUUAAG